rnacentral:misc_RNA from 1 species
GAUGAAGAACGUAGCGAAAUGCGAUAAGUAAUGUGAAUUGCAGAAUUCAGUGAAUCAUCGAAUCUUUGAACGCACAUUGCGCCCCUUGGUAUUCCGAGGGGCAUGCCUGUUCGAGCGUCAUUAUAACCCCUCAAGCUCAGCUUGGUGUUGGGGCAUGCCGCACGGGCAGCCCUUAAAAUCAGUGGCGGUGCCAUCUGGCUCUAAGCGUAGUAAUUCUUCUCGCUAUAGAGUCCCGGUGGAUGCUUGCCAUUAACCCCCAAUUUUCUAUGGUUGACCUCGGAUCAGGUAGGGAUACCCGCUGAACUUAAGCUUAUCAAUAAGCGGAGGA